rnacentral:lncRNA from 1 species
UAGGCAUUAACUAGCUAUUACGACAACCUGAAUAGGUAGAGAAGAUGGAAAACUUGGCGGAUCCUCUAUCAGUUUGCACAUAACAUAUGCAUUCCCUAGGCGGUAAUCGAUGACUUCAACUCCAUUACGAUGGUAUCAUAGAAGAGGAGGGACAACCCCCUCGCACGCCCUUAUAUCGAGUUCUCAAGAUAGUUUGGAUAGUUGCAUGUUAUCUGACCUACCAUUGUCUGGCUAUGGCUUCAUGUUGUCUCGCAGGAAGAGCAUAAAUGCUAUAAAAGAAAAGUUGGACGGAUGUGGUGUGAACGAACUCUAGUCAGCUGAAUAUCCGUAACCUCGC